UCCCUGGUGGCUCAGAUAGUAAAGCGUCUGCUUACAAUGCGGGAGACCCAGGUUUGAUCCCUGGGUUGGGAA
rnacentral:tRNA from 1 species